rnacentral:rRNA from 1 species
CCUACGGGAGGCAGCAGUGGGGGAUAUUGCACAAUGGGGGAAACCCUGAUGCAGCCACGCCGCGUGUGGGAAGACGGUCCUCUGGAUUGUAAACCACUGUUCCCAGGGACGAAGAUGACGGUACCGGGGGAGGAAGCUGCGGCUAACUACGUGCCAGCAGCCGCGGUAAUACGUAGGGAGCGAGCGUAAUCCGGAAUUACUGGGUGUAAAGGGAGCGUAGGCGGGGAGGCAAGUUGGGGGUAAAAACUACCGGCUCAACUGGUAGUCGCACUCAAAACUGCAGCUCUUGAGUGAAGUAGAGGCAGGCGGAAUUCGUGGUGUAGCGGUGAAAUGCGUAGAUAUUAGGAGGAACUCCAGUGGCGAAGGCGGCCUGCUGGGCUUUUACUGACGCUGAGGCUCGAAAGUGUGGGGAGCGAACAGGAUUAGAUACCCGAGUAGUC